rnacentral:rRNA from 1 species
GACAGAGGAGGCGAGCGUUAUCCGGAAUUAUUGGGCGUAAAGGGUACGUAGGCGGCUGGUCAAGUCUGGGGUUAAAGGCCACAGCUCAACUGUGGGAAGGCCCUGGAAACUGACCGGCUGGAGUGAGGUAGGGGCUGCGGGAAUUCCCGGUGUAGCGGUGAAAUGCGUAGAGAUCGGGAAGAACACCUGAGGCGGAAGCGCGCAACUGUGCCUCAACUGACGCUGAGGUACGAAAGCUAGGGGAGCGAAUGGG